rnacentral:lncRNA from 1 species
UUUUACAUAUGUUUAGUGCUUUAAUAGUUAUUUUGAUAUCAUAUUAUAUUUGAUAUACUUAUGAGAUAUAUCUUUGUACUAUUUUGAUAUACCACUAUCAAAUGUAAUAAUACCUCAAAUAUGAGGGGUAUUUCACAUUUUCUUCAUAUUCAUCAAUUUUCAUUUUCUUCCUAUUCAAGUCCAAAGAAAUAAAUUAAUUAAAAAGUUAGUGAAUCAUAUGCAUUUGAUAUAUCCAAC